GUUUUGCCUAAACCUGCUAUAAAAUGCCGUAGGAGAGAAUUAACAGGAUGUCUGUUUCAUCUGCCAACAUGAUUUGUGCUACUCUGGUCAUAGUCCUAAUAACUGCAGGUGUGAAGUGUGAGCAGCUCACACAGCCGGCGUCUAUGACUCUGCAGCCAGGUCAGACUCUGACCAUCAGCUGUCAGGUCUCUUAUUCUGUUACUGGCUACUACACAGCUUGGAUCAGACAGCCUGCAGGAAAAGGACUGGAGUGGAUUGGUUGGGCAGCUGGAUCUUCAACAAACUACAAAGAUUCCCUCAGAAAUAAAUUUAGCAUUUCUACAGAUUCCUCCAGCAACACAGUGACUCUGAAUGGACAGAAUGUGCAAACUGGAGAUACUGCUGUGUAUUACUGUGCAAGACAGGCACAGUGACACAAACCAUCUGGAGAGCUGUACAAAAACACCAUGAUAGUUUCCUAUCAACCAGAUGAGGCGCUGUUAGACCACUUAUUUCAAAACAAAUCAGAAGUAAAAGCCUUUCAUUGUAUG